AAAAAAUAAAUUAAAGGGGAAAAUUAACAAAAAGGGGUACAACAAUAAUAUGGUGGUUAAUAUAUAAAAUAAAAUGCAAUGGGCUCCAAGCCCAAAAAUUAAAUGGACUAAAAUAAAAAAUAAAGGGGUGCAAAAAAAAAGAAAAGGGAUGUGACCUAGUAAUAGGAGAAAGGCCUAAAGUGGAAGUCCCAUGAUCCAAACAAGAGGGAAAAAUUCUGAGACACAUGUGGUCAUCUG
rnacentral:lncRNA from 1 species